CUUAUCCACUCACGCACACACCAUUGCUGUCGUCCUCCAUCCCUCCCUGAAUCAACUAGCUUCGAGCACGGAGGCCCCAAGGGUCAAAGAACCAUGGACGGACAAAGAACCAUGGACGGACGCCCGGAGGUCAGCGGCCCGGCAACCGGCAUCAAGGGGUGAGCACUGGACCUCUUCGAGCACGCCGAACCCGUUCUCCUUCGCCAUCCAAAGCUCCGCUCUCAAACCAAGAGAAAUGAAGUUCUCUCUUUUUGGGCAGAGUCCUUUUUCUCUAUUUUUUUUUCUAGAUUUGGAGUUCGAUUCUUUGAAUUUCUCAAAGGAUUCGUUCAGUGAUUGCUCAAGUUGAUGCUCGAUUUCAUUUUUAAUAUUUUUGUCUUUCUUUAUUUCCUCUUGUUGCUCAAACCUCAAAUGAAGCUGUGUGAAGAGGAAGAAGAGCACAUGAGGUAAGCUUGAUUAGCGCAUGAGUGCGCGAGCGAGCGUUGCAGGAAAAAUUUCCCUGAGCUCGGAGCACAUUUUUCCUUUCCUCCAAAAGUACAGCCUUUCUGACCGUUCCUCUGGAAAGUCUAUCGUCGAUUCCUUUGUCCCAAACGCGUUACUCGCUUCCCUUUCCUCCGGAACCGAAGCGUCCAUUUUUCCUACGUUUUUCCUCCGUUCCGCCUCAGUGUUCGGAGUAAGCCACUGGCCGUGGGCCGAUGACAAACCUGCAGAGCGUUUGCUGGAGGAGUCAAGGAGAUGGUGGGCCGCGGGUAUAAUAGAGAGAAGAAAGGCAAACAUGUCACAGUGUAAAAGUUUCAUUCGCCCCUUCAUCUUUUUCCGUGGGCGGCGAGGCGGUGGCGCCAGGGGAUCUCCGAGGCUCAUCCCCGAGGGGCGGCGAGGCAGCAGCGCUAGGGGAUCUCUGAGGUUCAUUCCGUGGGCGGCGAGACGGUGGUGUGAGCGAUGGUGCCAAGCCAUCUCCAAGUUCAUCCAAAUCCCUUCAACUGUGUGUGGUGUUGGAGAUUUCAAUUCUCGUCCAGCUCGAUGGGGUUGCGGGCUGUUGUGACUGGCGUGAGGCUAGGUCUAGGGCGGAAUGCUGUCCGAAGGUGUGUAGUCAGAGGCCUAGGCUCAAUGCAGCUCCAGUCCAAAAGAUUUUAGAUGAAAGGAGGGCUCUAAGGACCAAAGAUGAUGUUGAAGCUGGUUCAUCUAAGAAGAAGAUGUGAUUGCGGUAUGUGGUUCUAUCCCCCUCAACAUAUGGUGCUAGUGCACUUAUCUAUCUUUUAUAGUGCUUCAUAUAUUUGAUAAAUAUGACUUACAUUAUGUUGUGACAAAUCUGACAGUAACCUAUUAGGCAUAAAUUUUGCUAUAUCUAAAUGUAGUUUUCUAUGAUGUUUGAAUUUUAGAAUUUAAGGUGGUUCGUUUUCGUAUGAUCACAAACUUGCUAUGAUCUCAAAUUUAAGGUGGUUCAUUUUAAGUUUGCUAUGAUCACAAACUUGCAAAGGAAAUAGUAUAUGCUCCUAUUUGAAUAUCCAUAGCUCAUAAAUUGAUGAUUGCUACUAGGGUUUAGAUUUUCCAUGUUGCUAGUGCUACUACUUAUUAUUUAAAGUUCAUUUUAGACUUAUUAUGUUUGUUGUCAUGUAUCUAUUUUUUCUAAGUCUAUGUGAACUCCUGCCUCUCAGUUUUACCCUUAUUAUAUUAUAUUUUAUCUAAUAUUUAAAUGGGUCACCUGGUAUGAAUCUGAUAUAUGUGCGAAAACCAGUCGUUUUUGUUCCUAUUCAGGAAUGUAAGAGUUUUUUAGAAUUUAUAUUUUGUUGUCACUAUAAUUACUUUGUUUAUUGCAUUGUAUCAUAUGCAACAUUGAGGUGUAAAUUUCAUGGGGAUGUACGACUUUAGGUGUUGCCUCUUUGUAUUUGGGGAAAUUUGUGGCAUAUGAGCAAUCUGUAUUUAGGUGUUUUCGUGACUACCCAAAUAAAGCUGGUUAUUUGCAUUCCAUAGGAAAGAAAUCUGAGUUAUUUGAGAAAUCUGUAUAUAGCUUUUGGGUUUUAGGAUAUUUGUUAAAUCUUUAUUUGUUUGGGGGUUCCAGUGACAACCCAAAUUCCUUCGAACAAAUAUGAGUCAUUUUUAGGAAUUUGGGACAUUUGAUCAUUCUGUCUCAGGGGGUUUUAGUAAGAAGCCAAAAUAAAUCUGAUUAUCUGCAUUCCUUAGAAAACAAAUAUAAGUUAUUUGAAAAAUCUGCAUAUGGUUUUCGGAAAUUUUGGAUAUUUGUUUAAUCUAUAUUUGGGAGUUUCAUUGACAACCCAAAUUAAUUUGUUUAUCUGCAUUCCUUAGAAAAAAAUUUGAGUCAUUUGUGUAAUCUGCAUAUGGUUUUUGGAAAUUUGGAACAUUUUGUUUCAUAACUUGUAGGAUAUAAUGGAGUAAUAUACUUGAGGUGUUAAAUAAUUAUCUUUUUAUCUAAUGUAGUACUCUAUUAUAUUCUUAGCCAAAAAUUCCAGUCCUAGCAUUUUCUAUCUCUAUCAUAUUUUUCUAUCUGAAGAAUCUGCAGGUUGCCAUUGUUUUUACAUUUAUCUUAAGCUGAUAAUUCUAGUUACCUUAGGUAGUUGCAUAUUAUGUUUGUUUGCACAAGUUACUUCAUUUGGUUUCUUUGGAAUUUGUAUAUGUUUGUCCUCUUUUAUAUUUUUUAUUAUACAGAAGAAUUAGUGCACUUGAACUUUUAGUUCUUUGUUUUUAUUCAAUGCAGUUGCAGCUUCUGGUUGUUCUAUCUCUUGCUUGAGUCUAGUUUUGUGCUUUUGUAUUCAGUGACUUGGAUAGGUUAAAUUAGCAAUAGUAGCAAGUUUGAUCUGAGCACUGAUAAUUGCACGUUGAUUUUUGCUACUGAUUAUACCUUUUUGCUCAAUUCAUGUAUUUUGUUGCUAAUCUAGUAAUAAGUUUAUUUAGAUUAUACAUAUUUUGCUUUAGAUCAUAUAGAUUCUACUGAAUGCAGCAUGUUUGAUACUAUUGUAUGCAGUAUGUUUCAUCAUACAGUAUGUUUCUGAUUUUAUUUUGGUACAUUUUGAUUCAGGUAAGUUGUAGCUUGUCUUUGUUCUGUUUCAUGAUUGGGUCUAGUUGUAUGUUUCAUAUUCAAUAUCUUUGAUUGGUUAAAAUAGCAACAACAACAAAUUUAAUUUGUCUCUUGCUACUGAUUACAUCUUUUUGCACUAUUUAUUUUGCUCUGUACCGACAUCUAAAUACCCAUCCUAUUUCUUUCUCUGUUAGUAUCUUCAACAAUAAUUCUUCUUCAGAUAUUUUAGCAACUGGAUUGAAUUCUGUUCAUUAUAGCAUUGAUUCAAUUCAGUUUAUUAUCUAUCGAUAUAUGUUUGUCUUUGUGUUUUAUUGAGUUUUCAUUGAACAAUUAGCCUUUUGGUUUAUCACUAUCAGUGUGACCAUCACUAUCUAGCCUAAUUCAUUGAUGAUCUUGCACAUAUGAAGUUGCUCAUUUAUAUCUUACAUUACUUUCUUUGUAUUUUUAUUAUAGGCAGUUGGAUGUAAUUUUUUCAUUCCGCAUAUGUAAUUUUUCUGUUUGUUGAAUUCUUUGUAUAUAUGGUAUUUUUUUUGCUUGAUCUGAUUUCAUUUGUGUGGCCUGGUUGAUUUGUUUUCAUAUGCAGAUGUGUAUAUUUUGCCCUUUAAUUCUAUGUGUAUUAAAUUUGGUUGAGAAGUUUUUGUCUCUAAUUUUGUGUGUAUUAAAUUUGGGUGAGCAAUAUACUUGUUUCACUCAAAAAUUAGUAUGCAGAUUCUUUGGCUGACUGUGUGAGGGCAGCAAACAAAUCACUCAAAUCUUAUUUCGUCAUAGAUUUAGGUGAUUUGUCUAGCCAAAUCACCUAGGUGAUGAGAGCCCUCAAAUCACCUGAGUGAUGGAUAGACAGACCCAAUAUAUAAUGUUGUUGGAAAUAAAGUACAAGUGAUUGGAGGAUGAUCACCUGUGCCUAAUAGACAAAACUCAAAGGGCACCAUAUUUAUCAUGGUUCCAAUGCUGGGGAUGGGAACAGGAAGGCUGGCUGGCUUCUUCAAGCAAAUGAGCUAGUUGACUAAUAAAGCGAAAUUAUCCAAUUUGAGUAGAAUUACACAGUAACUUUGUUCCGCCAAAAAUAAUCUCAAGAUGUAGCUUAUGAGGAUCAUUUGAGAAGUGAGUUCUGAAGCACCGCUUGUAGGGAAUGUUUGGUUUAUGCCCAACUCAACCUUACCACAUUUUGGUGAUGACCAAAUCCAUGGCAUAGUCAAAAAAUUGAUGUAGUGGUGUUUGGAUUGUUGCCAUGCUAAUUGUUGCCAAAUAUUUUUUGAUUAUGUAUAUGACAUGUGGGUCCAAUGUGUCAAUCAUUAUUUAAUUAUUAAAAUAUAUUCACAAUGGACCUAGAUUUGUAGAGUUAAUUAUAACGAAUUCAAUGGUUCUAACGAAUUUACAAUCCGACUUAAGGCUUAGGAGAAACAACAUUUUGAAUGUUGUUAACCAAAGAAUCAUAGAGUCGCGUGCAACCAAUGAUGUGUUGAUACCUCAGCAAUUUCAAUGGCAGCAGCGCUGGCAAAUUUUGGCAAGGGUUUCCUCGCCCAUGUUUUUACCCAUGCCCAUGUAACUUUUGUACUAGACUUGCCAAAUCUCCUUUGGCUUUCCAAUUGUUGCCGGGGACGAAGCCAAAGGAGGGCUGGUAGGGGCCACGCCCUCCCCUCCCCUCUCAAGUUUUGAUUAGGAUACUAUAGUUUGUAUACAUGUAGUAAUUAAGUUAGAUAAACUUUUAGCAAUUAAGUAUUGAGAUGAAGUAGUACUUAAUUUCAAAACAAAUGUAGUUGUUUGGGCAAGCUAAUAAGUUGUCAAGUGUGUCCAUGGCUUGAUUUAGUUUUACCAAUAAUACUUCAAGCUAGUAAUUGGACUUCACAAUUAUUCAACAUUUUAUCCAUUUUUAUAUAUUUAGUACUUCUUUAACAACUUUAUUCUAUGCAUCUAGUUUUAAGCUUUUAACAUAUCACACUCUCAAGCGUCUUGGUGCACAUGUGUGCCAAAAUGUGGUUUGAGCACAAUCGCUAUGUGCUUACACUACUGGGGAAAGUGC